CUAAAUUCUAAAGGCUAAAGCUUCAGGAUGAGAUUUAGAGUUUAGUAAUAUGUUGUUAAACUAUUAGCUUCCUAAUGUGAUAUAUAAACUAAUUAAAAUCUUGGUUGUACUAUAAUCUGGAAUAUAAUGACGGACUAACCUUUCCAUUAUUCUAAAAAUAGGAAUGGAUAAAAGUUGGUUGAAUAUUAGAAAUAGAGGUGACCAAAGGUACAGAGAUGAAGUAGAUGGCUUUCUUAGUUGGGCAUUCAGUCAACCAAGGGGAAGCACUAUGAUUCGAUGUCCUUGUAAAGGGUGUAUAAAUAUUGCAUUCAAGCUAAUGCCCGAUGUAAGAAGAGACUUAUUGAAAAAGGGUUUCUGGGAUUCUUACAAAGUGUGGGACUUGCAUGGAGAAGUGUUAGUUAGAGUUGAAAAUUCUAACGUAACACUCAAUAAUGAAGUAGAAGAUGAUAACAUUGAAGAGGAUAAUAUUUCAGAAAUGAUUCACGACGUGCGGGGACAUACGUAUGUAGAGGAUAAUAAUAAUAAUACUUCUAUGGACAAUGAAGAGCCAAAUUUACAUGCAGCAAAGUUCUACAAAUUGUUAGAAGAUGCUCAGACAGAACUUUAUCCUGGUUGUAGUAAAGUCUCAAAGUUAUCUUUUGUUGUCAAACUACUUCACUUGAAGUGCCUUAAUCAUUGGAGCAACAAAUCAAUGGAUGAACUGUUGAGUUUCUUUAAAGAAGUUCUUCCGGAGGGUUCAUUUGUGCCCAGUUCUUUCUAUGAAGCGAAGAAAGUUCUUCGUGACCUAGGCUUGGGUUACACCAAAAUAGAUGCAUGUGAGAAUGAUUGUAUUUUAUAUUGGCGCGAUUAUGACAAUGCCCAAUUAUGUCCUAAGUGCGGUAAGUCUAGAUGGAAGUCAGAAGAACACAAAGGCAAGAAAGUAGCUUGUAAAGUAUUGCGACACUUUCCAAUCAAACCAAGGCUUCAGAUAUUGUACAUGGCAAGAGAGACGGCAAAAAAGAUGAGGUGGCACAAGGAUAAAAACGUUGAUGAUGGUGUUUUGCGACAUCCGUCUGACUCCAUAGCAUGGAAAUCCUUUGAUGAGCGACAUCCCACCUUUUCAGCUGAAUUAAGAAAUGUUCUAUUAGGUUUAGCAAGUGACGGGUUCCAACCUUUUGGAAACAUGAGUGCCAAUCAUAGUAUUUGGCCAGUCAUACUAGCAACAUAUAAUCUGCCGCCAUGGUAUUGCAUGAAGGAUCCGUAUUUUAUGAUGACACUUCUUAUUCCAGGCCCUAAGUGUCCAGGAAAUGAUAUAGAUGUAUACUUGCAACCAAUUAUUAAAGAGUUGAAAGAAUUAUGGGAUGGAAUCGAAACUUAUGAUUCCUACUCAAAAUCUAAUUUUAUGAUGCGUGCAGCUGUAAUGUGGACGAUUAAUGACUUUCCUGCAUAUGGAAACCUUUUAGGAUGGUCAACAAAAGGCGAGCUUGCAUGUCCUUGUUGUCAUAAAUACACACAAUCGGUUUCUUUACGUAUUAAGUUGUGUUAUAUGAGUCAUCGUUGCUUCCUUCCAAUAAAGCAUCCAUGGCGCCGAAAUAGGAGAAAAUUUGAUGGAAAGGUAGAAAAGAGGGUUGCACCUAUUCCUUUAACAGGUGAUGAAGCACUUAUACAAUUACAGAGCUUGGGCAAUGUGAGUUUUGGGAAGGGAAAAAAGUGAAAACGUGACUUCCCCAAAAAGUGCUUACAAUUGGAGGAAGAAAAGUAUAUUUUUUCAAUUGCCUUAUUGGAGUACUCUUUUGUUACGACAUAACUUUGAUGUGAUGCACAUAGAGAGAAAUGUAUCUGACAAUAUAAUAUCAACUUUGAUGAAUAUGGUUGGAAAGACAAAGGACACAUUAAAAAGUAGAUAUGACUUGGUGGACCUUGGUAUUAGGCAAGAAUUGCAUCCAAUUGAGGAUGGGGAUAAUGUAUUGUUACCGGCAGCAUGUUACGCAUUGUCCUCGGAGGAGAAGUUGAAGUUAUGCCAUUUUUUGGCUAAUAUGAAGGUUCAUGAUGCUUUUUCAUCAAAUAUUUCAAGGUGUGUAAAUAUAUUAGAGAAAAAGAUCUAUGGAUUAAAAAGUCAUGAUCACCAUGUAUUAUUGCAAGACAUUCUCCCAGUUGCAAUACGUGGUUUAUUGCCUAAAGAAGUGUGUGAACCAAUUAUAGAGCUUGGAAUUUUUUUCAUGAAUCUAUGUUCUAAGACCUUGACAAUCGAAGGUCUUGACAUCUUGGAGGCUGAAUGUGCAUGCACAUUAUUCAAACUUGAAAUUAUUUUCCCGCCGACAUUCUUUGAUGUCAUGGUUCAUCUGCCAAUUCACUUGGCAAGAGAGGCAAAGCUUGGUGGACCAGCUCAAUUUCGAUGGAUGUACCCUUUUGAGAGGUAUUUGCGAACACAAAAGUCAUAUGUUUGCAAUAAUGCUCAUCCAGAAGGUUCAAUUGCCGAAGGUUAUUUGGCAAAGGAAAGUCUCACAUUUUGCUCCAGAUACUUAAAGAAUAUGUCAACCAAGUUCAACAAACCGGCCAGGAAUGACGAUGGAUCUAUAUCAAAUGGGGAGAUGUCUAUCUUCAAAAAAAGUGGGAAAAAAAGGUGGUUCAAAAGGCAUCAUGCUCUCUCACGAUGAGUUCAAACAAGCAUGUAUGUAUGUGCUUCAAAAUUGUGAAGAGGUUCUGCCAUUCAUGGAGGAAUACCAAGGAGAGAUUGAAAGACAAGGUUCAAUAAGUGAUGGGUUGCAUAACAGUGGGUUUGUUGAUUGGUUUCGUGCACGUGUCUUUGUACUAGCUGCACAAGGGCGCGCAAACGAGGAGCUCAUAAACUUAGUUGUUGGUCGUGCACCAAUGGUGAAUCGAUAUUCCAGAUUUGUGGUGAAUGGAUUCAGAUUCCAUACAAGAGAUCUUGAGAUGAGAAGAAAAACACAAAAUAGUGGAGUCCUUGUGAGAGGAGAUGAUUCAGACUCUAAUAAGGAGUAUUACAGUGUAUUAGAGUACAUUUACGAGUUGUCCUAUAUAGGAAAUAGGAAAGUUUACUUAUUCAAGUGUCACUGGUGGGACGUGGCUUGCUUGGGAAGGGGAUAUAAGAUUGAUAAAUAUGGCUUCACAAGUGUGAAUACUCAUUGUGCCUUGAACACAAAUGAGCCAUUUGUGUUGGCAUCUCAGUCUGAACAAGUCUUUUACUUGGACGACAUGGUUGAUAAAGAUUGGCUUGUAGUUGUAAAGACAAAUCCUCGCAACCUUUUCAAUAUGCCCGAAAAUGAUGAUUGUGUAGAAGUUGACGAGGAAGCAUUGCUGAAUGAAGAAGCUUAUCAAUAAGAGGAAGUUGAAUUGAACAUUUUACGUACCAAUGACCAUGAAAAUGAUAUUGGUUUGUCUUUACAUAGGAAUGAUGUUGAACCACAAAGUAUUAACAACAAUCAUGCAAGCAAACAAGAACAAACAAGUGUGCAUGAUGAAGAAGAGAAUUUUAUUAAUGACAAUCUUAUAGAUACAUCUGAGUAUGAAGAAGAAGAGGAUUUUAUUAAUGACAAUCGUAUAGAUAUAUCCGAGGGUGAAGAAAGCGAAGAAGAUUGGCUUGAUGAUAAUGAUGGAUAAGAUACUGAUGAUGCUCUUGAAGACUUAGAAGCAAGAUAAUAUAGAUGUCUACUUUUUGUUUUGAAAAGUUCUCUGUAUUUUGUUCCUUAUUGACAUGACAAUGAAAUUAAUUCAUUAUGCUUGUAACUUUAAUUUCAUAACUAGAUUAUAUAUUAAGCUUUUGUGAAAUGUUAUUGUUAGUUGCCAAGUUGUAAUCAUCACACAUGCCUCCUCAAUUGAGCUAUGCACCUAAUGUGCACAUAUCUGAAAAAUUUCAUUUUGCUGAGUAUUUUUUGUGAUUUCCAUUUUGAUCUGUGUCUAUUCUUGUGUGGCUAUCUAAACACCUCAGUAUAUCUUGAUUCUUGCCAUAAAAAACCUCUCCCAACAAAUCUAGGCAGUAGUGCACUAAGCAUCAUUCUUACUUAUUUUACUGAUGUUACAAAUCUAGGCAGCAGUGCACUUCUAUUCUUACUGAUGUUUUUCUACAUC